rnacentral:rRNA from 1 species
UACGAACCGUGCGAACGUUAUUCGGAAUCACUGGGCUUAAAGCGCGUGUAGGCGGGACGGCACGUCGGCCGCUGAAAUCCCCCGGCUCAACCGGGGAACGGGCGCCGAUACGACCGCCCUGGAGGGGCGUAGGGGGACCUGGAACUUCCGGUGGAGCGGUAAAAUGCGUUGAGAUCGGAAGGAACGCCCGUGGCGAAAGCGAGGUCCUGGACGUCUUCUGACGCUGAGACGCGAAAGCCAGGGGAGCGAACGGG